rnacentral:rRNA from 1 species
UCGGGAAUUUUGGGCAAUGGGCGAAAGCCUGACCCAGCAACGCCGCGUGAGGGAUGAAGUAUUUCGGUAUGUAAACCUCGAAAGAAUGGGAAGAAUAAAUGACGGUACCAUUUAUAAGCUCCGGCUAACUACGUGCCAGCAGCCGCGGUAAUACGUAGGGAGCAAGCGUUGUUCGGAUUUACUGGGCGUAAAGGGCGCGUAGGCGGCGCGGUAAGUCACUUGUGAAAUCUCUGAGCUUAACUCAGAACGGCCAAGUGAUACUGCUGUGCUAGAGUGCGGAAGAGGCAACCGGAAUUCUUGGUGUAGCGGUGAAAUGCGUAGAUAUCAAGAGGAACACCUGAGGCGAAGGCGGGUUGCUGGGCCGACACUGACGCUGAUGCGUGAAAGCCAGGGGAGCAAAC